UAGGGAAUCUUGCGCAAUGGGCGAAAGCCUGACGCAGCAACGCCGCGUGGGGGAUGAAUGCCUUCGGGUUGUAAACUCCUUUUAGUGGGAACGAAAUUGACGGUACCCACAGAAAAAGCCCCGGCUAACUACGUGCCAGCAGCCGCGGUGAUACGUAGGGGGCGAGCGUUGUCCGGAUUCACUGGGCGUAAAGAGCUCGUAGGCGGCUUAGUAAGUCGGCGUGUUAAAUCUCCAGGCUUAACCUGGAGGCGCACUCGAUACUGCUAUAGCUAGAGUCCGGUAGGGGACCAUGGAAUUCCUGGUGUAGCGGUGAAAUGCGCAGAUAUCAGGAGGAACACCAGUAGCGAAGGCGGUGGUCUGGGCCGGAACUGACGCUGAGGAGCGAAAGCGUGGGGAGCGAACAGGAUUAGAUACCCUGGUAGUCCACGCCGUAAACGUUGGGCACUAGGUGUGGGGAGCUAUCGACGCUUUCCGUGCCGCAGCUAACGCAUUAAGUGCCCCGCCUGGGGAGUACGGCCGCAAGGCUA
rnacentral:rRNA from 1 species